rnacentral:lncRNA from 1 species
UCAUUUAAUAGUGUGUGUGUGUGUGUGUGUGUGUGUGUGAAAAUGCUUUACUUGAUCUCUUUUAUUCACUCGUGUGUUUCCAAAGAGGACCUCGAGCUGCUGCUUCACCGGGUCAGCGAUUUAAUUGAGUUCCGCAUCGAUGCCGUCCUGGAGGAGAUGAGCAGCCUUCCGCUCUGCCAGCUCCCGGGGGAAGAGCCGCUUGCCUGUGAAGAGUUUCUCCAAAUGACAAAGGACCUUUGUGUAAAUGGUGCUCAGAUACUGCACUUUAAAAGCUCCUUAGUGGAGGAAGCAGUCAAUGAGCUAAUAAAUAUGCUGGUGGAUGUGGAAGAAAAUGAAGAAGUAUCCAGUGAUUCAAAAAACAAAACUUCAGAAAAAAGGGAAGAAGGGGGUUCGAGUGCCUUGACAUCUUCUCCUAAUUCUGGGGCUGGCCCCUUGCCCUCCACGGGAACCACAAAGAGGAAGAAAGAGACUGAGAUGUUAGAGGAAGAAGCCUGCGAGUUGCUCUCUCAUUUCAACCAUCAGAACACGGAUGCUCUUCUGAGAGUUACAAGGAAUACACUAGAGGCCAUUCGCAAGCGCAUCCAUUCUUCCCACUCAGUUAACUUCCUGGACAGCAUCGGCGGAUGUAGGAUGAAGCAGAGCAAUCUCUCUAUUUUCCGGGCAAGCAUCACUUUGGCCAUUCCCAACAUUGCCAUGGUGCCUGCCCUGGAAGACAUACAGCAGACGUUGAACAAAGCUGUGGAAUGCAUCAUCAGUGUCCCCAAGGGGGUCAGACAGUGGAGCAGUGAGCCAGUGUCCAAGGUAGGAAGGGGAUCAGGAAACUGUUUCAUAUGAAAGCUGUUUCUUUUAUAGAUGGUACAAAGCUGAGAAAUAUCCUUUUACAUUGCAGAAAAAGAUGCAUGAAAGAAAAAUGGCUGCUUUGCGGAAUAAUGAAGACAGUGAUUCUGAAAUGGGAGAAAAUGAACUUCAAGGUAAACAUUCUUUUAGUUCUUUAUAGAUAGUCAUUUCAAAUGGACAUUUAUUGAGCUUAAAUGUUUCCCCACUUCCCCUGUGGAAUUCUCAAAUCAAGUUAGAUUGGACUGCUAAUCUAUGAGCCAAUUUAAGUU